AAGUCGUAACAAGGUUUCCGUAGGUGAACCUGCGGAAGGAUCAUUAUUGAAAUAAACCUCAACAGGUUGUUGCUGGUCUUUCCUAGACAUUGUGCACGCUUGUUGUUUUAUUUUUCCAACUGUGCACAUAUUGUAGACCUGGAGCUCUCUUUAUUGUUCGGAUAGAUUGAGGACUGCCAUGAUUGGCUUUGCCUUGCAUUUCCAGGUCUAUGUUACAUUUUCACAUCGUGUUUCAGAAUGCUUGGAGAUACAAAAAUAUAUAUACAACUUUCAGCAACGGAUCUCUUGGCUCUCGCAUCGAUGAAGAACGCAGCGAAAUGCGAUAAGUAAUGUGAAUUGCAGAAUUCAGUGAAUCAUCGAAUCUUUGAACGCAUCUUGCGCUCCUUGGUAUUCCGAGGAGCAUGCCUGUUUGAGUGUCAUCAAGUUUUCAACCGCACCAGGUUUAUUCUGGUGUGGCUUGGAUUUGGGGGUUUUUUUUGCAGGCUUCCAAGUCGGCUCCCCUGAAAAGCAUUAGUGGUAUCUGAGCAGAAAGACCACCUUGAGCAUGAUAAAUAUCUAUGCCACUGGUGUGUGUCUGAUGCAAGCUGCUUUCCAACCCUUGCGCAUUUGACAAAUUUGACCUCAAAUCAGGUAGGACUACCCGCUGAACUUAA
rnacentral:rRNA from 1 species